UUUUGACUCAGAAAAUGAUCAACUUUUAGUCAGGGGGCGGAGCAUCAACCAGACAUAAAGAUCUUAACAGAACAGAUGAUGUUACAGUACAAGUUCAUCUCAUCACACCAUAAUGUUGCUCCACACAGUUAUUCUGCUCUGGGCAUGCGGAUGUGGAGUGUUUGGGAGUAUCAUUACACCAGACCAAACUGAGGUCUUAAAGGAAGAGGGUACCAAUGUAACUCUGUCCUGUAGCUACUCAACAGCCAUUAGUGUACAGUGGUAUCGACAGUAUCCCAAAUCCGCCCCUGAAUAUCUUUUAUUAAUCCUGCAAACCUCGGGACGUGUCCAGAGUGCAGAAAAACUGGAUCCUCGGUAUUCCACAAGACUAAAUGAAAAGAAAACUCAAGUGUAUCUGGAGAUCUCAUCUGUCAAAGUCCCAGACUCUGCUUUGUAUUAUUGUGCGCUGACGCCCACAGUGACAGGAAACACAACAGCACUGUACAAAAAACUAACAUACACAUAG